rnacentral:rRNA from 1 species
GCAAGUCGAGCGGUAACAUUUCUAGCUUGCUAGAAGAUGUCGAGUGGCGGACGGGUGAGUAAUGCCUGGGAAUUUGCCUUCGCGAGGGGGAUAACCAUUGGAAACGAUGGCUAAUACCGCAUAAUGCCUACGGGCCAAAGGGGGGACUUGUCCUCUCGCGCAUUGAGAAGCCCAGGUGAGAUUAGCUAGUUGGUGAGGUAAAGGCUCACCAAGGCGACGAUCUCUAGCUGUUCUGAGAGGAAGAUC